CACGUAGGGGGCAAGCGUUGUCCGGAAUUAUUGGGCGUAAAGAGCGUGUAGGCGGUUAUACAGGUCCGCUGUGAAAACUGGAGGCUUAACCUCCAGACGUCGGUGGAAACCGUAUAACUAGAGUCCGGAAGAGGAGAGUGGAAUUCCUGGUGUAGCGGUGAAAUGCGCAGAUAUCAGGAAGAACACCCGUGGCGAAGGCGGCUCUCUGGGACGGUACUGACGCUGAGACGCGAAAGCGUGGGGAGCGAACAGG
rnacentral:rRNA from 1 species